GAUGAAGAACGUAGCGAAAUGCGAUAAGUAAUGUGAAUUGCAGAAUUCAGUGAAUCAUCGAAUCUUUGAACGCACAUUGCGCCCCUUGGUAUUCCGAGGGGCAUGCCUGUUCGAGCGUCAUUAUAACCCCUCAAGCUCAGCUUGGUGUUGGGGCCUGCUGCACUGGCAGCCCUUAAAAUCAGUGGCGGCGCCAUCUGGCUCUAAGCGUAGUAAUUCUUCUCGCUAUGGAGUCCUGGUGGAUGCUUGCCAUCAACCCCCAAUUUUUCUAUGGUUGACCUCGGAUCAGGUAAGGAUACCCGCUGAACUUAAGCAUAUCAAUAAGCGGAGGA
rnacentral:misc_RNA from 1 species